GUGCACAAUCCCAAAUUAGCAUAUGCUUGUAUUUAUGUGUGUGUUUAGUCUGCCUGGCCAUGUCCACUGGAGGUAAACACAGAACUCCCACACAUCUGUGAGCAGCGUCCCUUGCAGGCCCUGCCAAGGGCACGGUGGAACAUCGGGACACUCAGGAAGAACAUGUGCUGCUGUGGAAAUCUGCAGUUAUUGGACAUGCUGGAACAGCACUUGCUGCAGUGUCGAAGUGUUUGUGCUUGGUCAGCCUGCCGGUGCUUUCAUUGCAGUGAACACAAGCACAUCUUGAA
rnacentral:lncRNA from 12 species